CAACUUUCAACAACGGAUCUCUUGGUUCUGGCAUCGAUGAAGAACGCAGCGAAAUGCGAUACGUAGUGUGAAUUGCAGAAUUCAGUGAAUCAUCGAAUCUUUGAACGCACAUUGCGCCCUUUGGUAUUCCAAAGGGCAUGCCUGUUCGA
rnacentral:rRNA from 1 species